GCGACUCUGGCUUCGGUUCGUGAUCCUCCUCUCUGGCUCCGGGCUGCGUGCAGUGUCUGGGUGGCGAUCGAAGGGUGCCUGCGAUCUUCUGCCUCGGGGACCCGGCUGUCUUCCUUGUGCUAAAAAAACCUAAGGGAGAAAGAAUCAAGGAUCUCUCCUGCAUCCGGACCUGAAGAUGAAGGGUUGUAAUCCCGGCUUCUCAGGAGGACAACUCGGGAGCAGUUCCAGGACACCCUGGACAACUUGGAGACUCUCAAAACCAAAACAAAUCGAAAGGAAUGGAAACUUCAAGGAGUCACAGCGCAGUGUGUGACCUACUCAGCGUAGGCAGGUCCCAUGCCCUGGCACCCAGUAGGUAGGUCUCCUUAAUGGGUCCCCUUUCUUAGCAUCCAAUACUGGCAAGAGAAACAAAGCCCCCC
rnacentral:lncRNA from 1 species